rnacentral:tRNA from 1 species
GGAAGGGUGGCAGAGCGGUCGAUUGCAGCGGUCUUGAAAACCGCCGGAGUCUCAAUGGCUUCCGUGGGUUCGAAUCCCACCCCUUCCGCCA